rnacentral:rRNA from 1 species
UACGUAGGGCGCAAGCGUUGUCCGGAAUUAUUGGGCGUAAAGAGCUCGUAGGUGGCGUGUCGCGUCUGCCGUGAAAGCCCAUGGCUUAACUGUGGGUCUGCGGGUGGAUACGGGCAGGCUGGAGGCUGGUAGGGGCAAGCGGAAUUCCUGGUGUAGCGGUGAAAUGCGUAGAUAUCAGGAGGAACACCGGCGGUGUAGACGGCUUGCUAGACCAUAACUGACGCUGAGGCACGAAAGCGUGGGUAGCAAACAGG